GCCUUCGUGGUCAGUACACUGAGCCGGUAUUUCAGAGGUCUGUGGUUCGAUUCCCGGCGAAGGCG
rnacentral:tRNA from 1 species